rnacentral:rRNA from 1 species
UACGAAGGGGGCUAGCGUUGCUCGGAAUCACUGGGCGUAAAGCGCACGUAGGCGGCUUGCUAAGUCAGGGGUGAAAUCCUGGAGCUCAACUCCAGAACUGCCUUUGAUACUGGCGAGCUUGAGUCCGGGAGAGGUGAGUGGAACUGCGAGUGUAGAGGUGAAAUUCGUUAGAUAUUCGGAAGAACACCAGUGGCGAAGGCG